rnacentral:rRNA from 1 species
CAGCCCGCCGCGGUAAUACGUAGGUGGCAAGCGUUGUCCGGAAUUAUUGGGCGUAAAGCGAGCGCAGGCGGUUAGAUAAGUCUGAAGUUAGAGGCCGUGGCUUAACCAUAGUACGCUUUGGAAACUGUUUAACUUGAGUGCAGAAGGGGAGAGUGGAAUUCCAUGUGUAGCGGUGAAAUGCGUAGAUAUAUGGAGGAACACCGGUGGCGAAAGCGGCUCUCUGGCUUGUAACUGACGCUGAGGCUCGAAAGCGUGGGGAGCAAACAGGAUUAGAUACCCCCGUAGUCCCUGUCUCUUAUAC